rnacentral:rRNA from 1 species
UACAGAGGGGGCAAGCGUUGUCCGGAUUUACUGGGCGUAAAGAGCGCGCAGGCGGUCGUUCAAGUCGAGUGUGAAAGCCCCCGGCUCAACUGGGGAGGGUCACUCGAUACUGAUCGACUCGAAGGCAGGAGAGGGAAGUGGAAUUCCCGGUGUAGUGGUGAAAUGCGUAGAUAUCGGGAGGAACACCAGUGGCGAAGGCGACUUCCUGGCCUGUUCUUGACGCUGAGGCGCGAAAGCUAGGGGAGCAAACGGG